ensembl:lncRNA
GUCUCAGGGUGUGUGUGCGUGCGAGUGGUGUCUCAGGGUGUGCGUGCGUGCGAGUGGUGUCUCAGGGUGUGUGUGCGUGUGUGCGUGCGAGUGGUGUCUCAGGGUGUGUGUGCGUGCGAGUGGUGUCUCAGGGUGUGUGUGCGUGCGAGUGGUGUCUCAGGGUGUGUGUGCGUGCGAGUGGUGUCUCAGGGGUGGUGUGCGUGCGAGUGGUGUCUCAGGGUGUGUGUGCGUGCGAGUGGUGUCUCAGGGUGUGUGUGCGUGUGUGCGUGCGAGUGGUGAGUGGGGGUGUGUGUGUGUGUGUGUGUGCGAGUGGUGUCUCAGGGUGUGUGUGUGUGUGUGUGUGCGAGUGGUGUCUCAGGGUGUGUGUGCGUGUGUGUGGUGCGAGUGGUGUCUCAGGGUGUGUGUGCGUGUGUGUGCGAGUGGUGUCUCAGGGUGUGUGUGUGUGUGUGCGAGUGGUGUCUCAGGGUGUGUGUGUGUGUGUGUGUGUGUGCGAGUGGUGUCUCAGGGUGUGUGUGCGUGCGUGCGAGUGGUGUCUCAGGGUGUGUGUGUGUGCGUGCGAG